rnacentral:rRNA from 1 species
CGAACGCUGGCGGCAGGCCUAACACAUGCAAGUCGAACGAACUCUUCGGAGUUAGUGGCGGACGGGUGAGUAACACGUGGGAACGUGCCUUUUGGUUCGGAAUAACUCAGGGACACUUGUGCUAAUACCGAAUGUGCCCUUCGGGGGAAAGAUUUAUCGCCAUUAGAGCGGCCCGCGUCUGAUUAGCUAGUUGGUGAGGUAACGGCUCACCAAGGCGACGAUCAGUAGCUGGUCUGAGAGGAUGACCAGCCACACUGGGACUGAGACACGGCCCAGACUCCUACGGGAGGCAGCAGUGGGGAAUCUUGCGCAAUGGGCGAAAGCCUGACGCAGCCAUGCCGCGUGAAUGAUGAAGGUCUUAGGAUUGUAAAAUUCUUUCACCGGGGACGAUAAUGACGGUACCCGGAGAAGAAGCCCCGGCUAACUUCGUG